GAAAAAACCUGCUGAGAAAAUAUGAGUUCCUUCCUUUCUUGAUUUCAAAUGAAGUGAGGAAGAUGCUGCCAUUGAAGCCACCGCACAAUUUGGUUCGCUGCUUUUAAUUAAUUUUACAGAACAUGCAAUGAUUUUCCUGCCAUGUUUUGCAACUGAGAAAGCAACAGAUGCUCCUGCAUACAAAGACCAUGCGAAACAUUAGAUGCACACACACAACACAGUCUCAAAAGCAAUUUACAUCUUAGUGCACAAGAAUGACAUUGUGAAGAGGCUGUUUCCAUGGUUUGGACCUGUGACUCGUAUCUUGUAAUGAAGCAACGAUUGUGCAGAGGUUCAAACCUUCUUAGCAUAAAGAAUUAAAUCAUCAAGCAAGUUGUUGAAGUGAAUUACCUGGAAUGAAGUGGCUAGACUUCGAGAAAUCCUCUUGGAAACAUGUGUCACAGUAAACAGCGCCAACAACAACUGCAGGUACAAGCUUCCUCCCAUGUUUGGCCUCUACAGGACUAUUGAAUGUGAAACUAAGAAAUAACACUAUGAAAAACCAAGACAUCAUUCCGAAACCUCUCAUUUGUCUAAGAACUGUGAGGAUGAUGAACUAUAGGACGGGCUUUUUAUAUGAAAUGCCCAAGUAUAUAUUUAUCCUGUAAAUAUUCUCUUCUAUUACUUUUCUUUCUUUUUCUUGCUGAUUCAAGGAAAAGGUUAGUUUUAAUAGCCUGACCCACUAGGCCUAUUUAUUCCAGUCAUGAGUCAUGCAAAAAAAAAACCAGUGAACUGCAAACCAGUAGCAGUGAAUGACUGAAUGUGGGUGUAUUCCCUUUUGUUUCUAUAAUCAGAACAGCUUAAAAGAAGGUAAUUGUUGUAUUUGACUGUCA